GUCUAUGUGAAUAUUAAACAAAGGAAGCAGAUGGAUUCAUGACAAAAUUGUGUUUUGGUGAUGGUGAUAUGUUUGUACAUCUUACUUUACUAAACAGUCUUGCUGCUUACAAUUAUCUCUAUCUAUAAUGAACUUGGCCCAGUAGUUUCAGUGGAAAAUGUUAAUAAAAAUUUACAAAUUUUAUGAAAAUUGUUAAAAAUUGACUAUAAAGGACAAUAACUCCUUAGGGGGUCAAUUGACCAUUUCGGUCACGUUGACUUAUUUGUAAAUCUUACUUUGCUGAACAUUAUUGCUGUUUACACUUUAUCUCUAUCUAUAAUAAUAUUCAAG
rnacentral:lncRNA from 1 species